GCCCCCGUCGUCUAGGGGACCAGGACGCCACCCUUUCAAGGUGGAGAUCGCGGGUUCGAAUCCCGCCGGGGGCACCA
rnacentral:tRNA from 1 species